GUAGGUGAACCUGCGGAAGGAUCAUUAACAAUGUUUUUUGCUAUCAGUUCGCCUCACGUGUUGAUGGUGAUUGGCGGAUCCGGGUUAAAAAAAAUGUGACGAUGCUCGUCAGGCGAGGAUUGCCCUUCAUUUAUUGAUUUGAUAAUUAUGUCUAAAUGCUUUGGUGCGCCCUUGGAACGAGAACUGUUCGUCUAUUUUCCGUCGAAGUACCUUUCACUUCCAACUCGCGACCGUAUAGCAAAAUACACAC
rnacentral:misc_RNA from 1 species